GCAGAUGAUGGAGUAGGUGGCGGAGCAGUUGGUGGCGGCGCUGGUCAGAGGUAGGGUUCGUAGCUGGCUAUUGUUUUUUUUUGUGCCUGUUGGGCUAUUUUUUAAUUCGGGCCUGUUUGGGUUAGUUUUAGGUGGGUUGGGUCUGUUGGGUUAGGUCUAGGUGGGGGCUGGUUUGUAAAUUGGACUGGGCUGAUUGGGUUUUGCUAGGGUGAUGGGUUUAAUUUUGUUGGGUUGUAUUUGGGUCUGUUUGGGUUAGGUUUGUUAUGGGCCUAGGCUAAAUUGGGCUUGUACAGCUGCCCCUCUUUGCUCGUUGUCG
rnacentral:lncRNA from 1 species